GGAGUUGGCCAAGGCAGUCGCGCUGCUCAUAUCAUUGAUAUGCGCAUCGAGGAAAGUCCGGGCUCCGCAGGACAGAGUGCCAGGUAACGCCUGGGGGGCGCAAGCCUACGGAAAGUGCCACAGAAAAUAUACCGCCGGUUGAGCUUCGGCUUAACCGGUAAGGGUGAAAUGGUGCGGUAAGAGCGCACCGCAUGUCUGGCAACAGGCAUGGCAGGGUAAACCCCACUCGGAGCAAGACCAAAUAGGGGAACAUAAUGCGUGGUCCGCGCUGUUCCCGGGUAGGUUGCUUGAGGUAUGCGGUGACGCAUGCCCUAGAUGAAUGACUGCCCCGGCUCUUUGAGCUACGACAGAACCCGGCUUAUCGGCCAACUCCCCCU
rnacentral:RNase_P_RNA from 1 species